UUCUCAUUUGAGUGAGAGUUCUUGGUGGCACAUACACAGACAGUAUAUAUAUUUAUAGUUCCACGUGUAUAUUUUUAUCUCUUUCUCCCUGCUUCAUGCGUUUAGUUUGAGGUUGGAAAAGCCCGUGGAAAACAUGACUGGGUUGUUUUUAUUUUAUGCUAAUUGGGGAUCAGAUUACAGUACUGUGUUCUUGUUCUUAGUUUCUCCUUGGCAUGGAAGGAAGCUGGUAAAAGGUUAGAAAUGCAGGCGAUGGCCUCUUUCCCCCUGAGAUUGAGGUCGGCCAUUACAUCAGAGAAAGGGCAUCGUAGUCUCCAGUUCUGGGCUCUGGCUAGAGAUGGUAGGCUAAGAGCUUCUUCAGAGGGCAUGAGUGUGUAUGAGUGUUUGUAAGUGUUGCAAUAUUUUGCCCUCCAGAGGCUUCAGUUGAGACUUUCGGCAAUCGUUAGAAGGAGCCGUAUCAGGUUCCAAAGGAGAGACGGAGGCAGCUCUGUGCAUCUCCCUCCUGGCUCUGCCGUGGGGAUUCAGCCUUUAGCAGGGAGGGAAGAUGCCUCAGGUUCUACAGGUGUUUCUUCUAGGCUCUCCAAGAGAAUGCAGCCAGUAUUAACUGCCACAGACAGUGAUGAGCCAGUGUUGCCAGAAGGCUCCUUGCAAGCUAGGCCACGCUACUAGCUUCCCCCACUGAAUAAAACCUGGGCCCUAGCUGCUACCCCUUGAUCAGCCCUGUCUCCGACUGGUCAUCUGCCUUUCCUUCACUCAAGCUAUCAGGACUGAAUUGAAGACCUCUAAGGAGUUGAGUCUUGGGCUCUCAGCCCACAGCUUGAAGACCAAGGGGUGCCGAGAAGGAAAGCCCUCCUGCGGAGCCCUCUCAGACACUUACAGAUACAGUAACAAAGCGGGCUUCAGACAGAGACCCUCUGCCCACCGGAGUCAGAGAAGAUUUCCCCUCUCAUGGGAUUCGUCUGUUAAGUUGGCCAAAUGCCUUGUGCCAAGUUGGACAGUCCUCAAUGUUAUUUCCUUCCUCACAUCAUAACAUUUCCCACCCUAUCCCUUACCAGGCCUCCUCCUCUCCUUCUUUUCUUUUCCGUUAGUCUUCUCCCUACUAAUAACAACUACCAUUUAUCGAGCAUUUUCAUGGGAGUCUCUGGGCUUGGCACAUUGAUGUAUUCUUUGGUCUAACCCUCAGCAUCCCUAGGAGAUAGGUGGGAUGAUCCCCAUUUUACAAAUGGACAAACUGAGGCUUAAUGAGUUUAAAUAAUUGCCUACUGUGGCACAGAUGGGAAGUGGGAGAGCUGCAAUUUGAACCUGGAUUCAGAACUGUCUACGCAGUAUUGUGUUACCCUACCUCCCCCUUCAUUUCCUUCCCACGCCUUCUCUCUCUUCUCUUUCUUCAACUCCUUUUUGUGUCUCCCAUAUUCAUAGAAGAGUCUCAUUUAUUUGGUCAACCAGAGCCCUACUUUCUGGAAUAAUUGUGUAGCUAUACUUUUUGCCUUUCUGAAUAGGUCCUUAAAGUCUUUUAUCCUUUUUCAUGGCUUCCACCAACCUCUCAACGAUGUACACAAUAUUCGUCGCCUGUGUACUGGUAAAGUUGGAAUACAGCCACUUAUGCGAAGGGGAUUUCACCCAGAGGGGAAGCCAGCUCAUCCCUGAGCUGGAUGUCUUUCCGGGAGCCUCAGGCUUUCUUCCCUUCUGUGAGCUUCAGCCACUAGAUGGCGUGCUAAACACAUAAGCGGGAGACGACCUAACAAACCCCCCUCCGCGUCUUCCCUAAGCUCCGCCGCCCCUCUCACCCGCGCGCGCGCACACACAGACGCGCACACACCCAGACGCGGGCAAAGGGGGGCUUCUCGUCCCUGCUCAGGAUUUUUCAACCUCAGAGCCUGAACCCGUCCCUGGAACCUGAGAAAAGCGCCCCCGCCCUGCACGGAAGUCCAGGGAGUACAUGCUAGAUAAGGGCAAUUAGGAAGCAAGUCAGCAUCCACCCCUUUCUGGAGAAGCCCAUCAUGAUACGUGGUUUGUAAUGAUUCUCAAUUUCUCGUGCGUGAUUGAAAAAGCUCCCUGCAUUAAGAAGCUCCCACUUAGAUCUUUCCAUUUCUUUCUGUCGCCUAAGAAAGAAACAGAACUGAUUAGCAGAGACGAGAGAGAGAGAGAGAGAGAGAGAGAGAGAGAGAGAGAGAGAUUUGAGAGAUUGAUGUUGAGUCAGAGAAAGGUAAAAGGAGCAAAAUUCAAAAGUAGAUUUUAGAAAUGCUAAUUUAGGAAUUCACUGAUGAGAAAGUGUCUGCCAUUGGUCUGCAUAGUAAUUUGGAGGGAGGAAAGGAAAGAAUGUGCAAAAUAGAAUUGCUUUAGAGGCGCUGGGCUGGGGAGUAGUCAUCUGAUGAACAUCCAAGUGACUGUAAGGAGGCAUCCAGAAAGGGGUGUGCUAGCUGACCAGACCCACACUCACCCAAGGCUUCAGCAACCUGGGACCAAGACUCAGGGAAAUCUGCUGUCCCGGGCACUCUGGAGAAACCAUAGUUUCUGUCACGUGUAGUUGGUUCCCUUGCACAGAGUCACACUCAGUGGAUGUUACUGAACUGGAUUCAAAACGUUCUAUGGCCUGAGAAAAUCAUUUGCUCAAGAGGAAACCAGAAAAAAAGAAAAGGGGGGAAAACUACAAGCUCUUCGGUGUGGUCUUGGCGGGAAACCACCUCUCCUGCUCUGUCAUGACCUGUUCCCCCAGCAGGAAAAAUCGCAGAGCCAUUUUCUCACACCUGUGUGGCAGAGACACAAACAAUACUCACAUUGAGGACACGGCUAUGUGCUUUUCCUUUCCAUUUUCAGACUCUAAUCAACGUUCAGUCUUAAGCUAUGUUUAUAUGUUCUUCAGUGUGAAAAAGAAUUCUCCUCCUUCUCAGGAUUCACAAUGUAGGACAAACUAAAGACAUAAACAGCAAGGUCAAGGGGAAAGCCCGCGAUGGCUGUGAACUCAGCAUGCUGCUGUAGCCCAGAGAGCCUCUGAGAAAGGGUAAUCCCCCAAAAGAAACACUCUGAAAUUGGCCCUGAAGUGUCAACAAGGUCACGUGUUUAACUGAAAAUUGAAAGGAGUUCUCCUUAAAGACUGAAAAGCCUUCCUUUGCCUGCCCUCCACCCUGCUGAAGUGACAUUUGGAACUCCAGCAACCGUCUUGUACCAGAAGAAGGACCACUCCCUAAGCAUGUUGGAGCAGAACUUUGGAGAAAGACCAGUUCCUUGAUGACUGUGAGGUUGCCGUCGCUUCUGGACUUAAUGUCUCUGAAAUUAUUUUACGUGAAAGAAUGACACUUCUUUAUGAAGGUACUUUUUGUUGGUGGGGAGAGAGGAGUGGUCCAUGUUAUUCUCAGAAGAACCUAAUCCUAAAUGAGAAAUUCCCCACUUCCCUUCCUAGUACUCUGCUUGGAUGUCGUGCUGGGCUUGGGAGAAAGUUGGAGGUAAGUGGGGGCAGUAGUGAGAACAGCUCAUAAGUCAGAAGAUUUGGCAUUCAUUGCAGCUGCAACCUGUAGGCAUGAUUCUCUAAAGAAAAGAUAGACAAGGAGUAACUUUUCUAGAAACUGAAAGAGUUUCUGGAUUACGUGCUGGGUUGGCCCUUGCUACCCUGCUAAAUAAAAGAUAUAGGAAAAUAUAUCAAUGUAAUUUUUCCUUUCUUCUCUUAAUUCCAAGAGGGGGUUGUGUGUGUGUGCGUGUAUGUAAUUCUGAGAAUGUUACAAUUCUGAUUUUCUCAUGAAGAUUAAACGAAAUUUCAGUUUUAAUAUUUUUCAUUUAAGUAGUUAACGGAUAGAAAAUCCUAAAAUCUGAGCACCUGUAACUGUGUUCAAUUUUAACAGAGUUCUGGCCAGUUUUUUAUUUCUGAAAACAAAUUCCCCAGCAACGUGGAGUCCCAGAAAGAAAAGCGCUCACGCAGCUGUGGCUGAAACUUCUUGUUUGGGAGCAAACAAUAUGACCGGUUGUGGUCAUACUUCCUAUGUGGCUUAUAUCUUGUGGUGUCAGAGAAAAGAGAAGAAAAACAUAAGGUUUUGGAGAAAAGGAAAGGAAAAAAAUAUUAGAUGAAGAAGUAAAAUCAUUUUUCUGAUUGAGAGAUGGACUCUGUUUUGCCUUGUUGAAAGAUGUCUAAUAAUGAGAGGAGAGUGGGGUAGAAGGACACCUCCAUUCACUCUUCUUUGCUGCCAGAGUUUGAGUAAAUAAUCAAAUCAUGACAAAUUAUGCCAAAGCUUUUAAUGACAUUAGCUAGUAAACUGCCAUCUGUCCUGAUGUCAAUUCUUCUUGCAUGUGAAUUCCAAGGUGUUGCACUUUUAUAUAUUUUAAGCAAAUGGGUCAAAACUACCCUGGAUCUUUUUGGAAGGUUUUAAAAAUAGUUCAGAAAAUUCUGUUUUCAAAUUUUGUAGGUGAGUAGAGAAAGAAUAACUCCUGAUAACAUUAAAUCAUUUUCAGCAACAAAAUCACUUAUCAAUGGAAGCGUCAUUUCAUAAAGCCUUUUUCAGAGUGUGGGUUUCUUUUGAAAAGCAAUUAUUUUCUCACUCUGUUAAAAUACUUUCUUUACCUUGAAAGAAGUUAUUGAAGUCAACUUCUACAAAAAAUAUCUGCAAUGUAGCAUACUGUCAGAUCUGCUUAAAUCAUCAUUGUUUUUACAUCAUUUAACGGUUGACAAAGAGUUUAUACUAUGUUAAAAACAAGACAACAGGCCCAAAAUGGAGUCACUAAGCCCCACGUCACCAAACCAAGACUUAACCUAAUUCCAGUUCUGGCUCUUCCACAGAAGGAAUCUUAGAGUCAAUCAGGAAUCACCUGAUGAACACUAGUUAGGUCUCCUGCCCGACAGACCUCUGCCAUCUCCCACAAGAAGAAUCCCCGCAGGAACACCCGUCACACUGGUCCAUGCAGAGUCCCUGCCUUCUGGAUAAUCAUGUGUGGUGACAAAGGCCUGAGCCACCCCCAUGCCGAAGUCCU